UUGAAACAGCAGUUUCUGUACGGUCACCGAAAUUAAGCAACGUUGAGCUAAAUUAGUACUUAGAUGGGUGACCGUUUGAGAAAAUCAGAUGCUGUAAU